rnacentral:tRNA from 1 species
GGGUUACACAACUGAUGAGGUUUGUGAAGCUCAGAAGUAAAUGACUCUUAAUCAGCAGGUCCCCGGUUCGAUCCCGGGACGGCCCACCA